CCAGACUCCUACGGGAGGCAGCAGUGGGGAAUUUUGCGCAAUGGGGGAAACCCUGACGCAGCAACGCCGCGUGCGGGACGAAGGCCUUCGGGUUGUAAACCGCUUUCAGCAGGGACGAAUUCCGACGGUACCUGCAGAAGAAGCCCCGGCUAACUACGUGCCAGCAGCCGCGGUAAUACGUAGGGAGCAAGCGUUAUCCGGAUUUACUGGGUGUAAAGGGCGUGUAGGCGGGCCUGCAAGUCAGAAGUGAAAUCUGGGGGCUUAACCCCCAAACUGCUUUUGAAACUGUGGGUCUUGAGUGAUGGAGAGGCAGGCGGAAUUCCCAGUGUAGCGGUGAAAUGCGUAGAUAUUGGGAGGAACACCAGUGGCGAAGGCGGCCUGCUGGACAUUAACUGACGCUGAGGCGCGAAAGCGUGGGGAGCAAACAGGAUUAGAUACCCCAGUA
rnacentral:rRNA from 1 species